rfam:Reticulomyxa filosa solexa389572_1.exp, whole genome shotgun sequence.
UCCCAGGUGUUUUUUAACACCACCUAACUUUUAAUUGUUGUGAACC